rnacentral:rRNA from 1 species
GACGAACGCUGGCGGCGUGCUUAACACAUGCAAGUCGAACGGAAAGGCCCUGCUUUUGUGGGGUGCUCGAGUGGCGAACGGGUGAGUAACACGUGAGUAACCUGCCCUUGACUUUGGGAUAACUUCAGGAAACUGGGGCUAAUACCGGAUAGGAGCUCCUGCUGCAUGGUGGGGGUUGGAAAGUUUCGGCGGUUGGGGAUGGACUCGCGGCUUAUCAGCUUGUUGGUGGGGUAGUGGCUUACCAAGGCUUUGACGGGUAGCCGGCCUGAGAGGGUGACCGGCCACAUUGGGACUGAGAUACGGCCCAGACUCCUACGGGAGGCAGCAGUGGAGAAUAUUGCACAAUGGGCGGAAGCCUGAUGCAGCAACGCCGCGUGCGGGAUGACGGCCUUCGGGUUGUAAACCGCUUUCGCCUGUGACGAAGCGUGAGUGACGGUAAUGGGUAAAGAAGCACCGGCUAACUACGUG